rnacentral:rRNA from 1 species
AAUUUUUACGGAGAGUUUGAUUCUGGCUCAGAACGAACGCUGGCGGCGUGGAUAAGACAUGCAAGUCGAACGGGAUUAUUUUUGUAGCAAUACAGAGAUAAUUCAGUGGCGAACGGGUGCGUAACACGUGGGCAAUCUGCCGAAAAGUGGGGGAUAGCUCGCCGAAAGGCGAAUUAAUACCGCAUGUGGUGAGGGACGACAUCUUCCUGAAUCCAAAGCCGGGGCAACCUGGCGCU